UAGAGAGGAUGACUCCGAACAGGCCCUGACCCCAAAGGGGACAUCAUUGGAAUGUCCCGAAUGGGUUCUGGACUCCAAUAUGUCCCCAUGUGGGUGCUGGAUCCCAAUGGGGACAUCAUGGGAAGGUCCCCAAAUGGAUUCUGAACCCCAGUAUGUGCCAGUAUGGGUGCAGAACCUCAAUGGGACAUCAAAGGAAGACCCCAAAAUGAAUCCUGGACCUCCAUAGGGUGCAUAGAGAGGAUGACUCCAAACAGGUCCUGACCCCAAUGGGGACAUCAUAGCGAUGUCCCCAAAUGGAUUCUGAACCCCAGUAUGUCCCAGUAUGGGUGCUGGACCUCAAAGGGGACAUUAGUGGAAGACCCCAAAAUGAAUCCUGGACCUCCAU